rnacentral:rRNA from 1 species
CCUACGGGCGGCUGCAGUGAGGAAUAUUGGUCAAUGGACGAGAGUCUGAACCAGCCAAGUAGCGUGAAGGAUGACUGCCCUAUGGGUUGUAAACCUCUUUUAUAAAGGAAUAAAACGAGGCACGUGUGCCCUUUUGCAUGUACUUUAUGAAUAAGGAUCGGCUAACUCCGUGCCAGCAGCCGCGGUAAUACGGAGGAUCCGAGCGUUAUCCGGAUUUAUUGGGUUUAAAGGGUGCGUAGAUGGGUUGUUAAGUCAGUUGUGAAAGUUUGCGGCUCAACCGUAAAAUUGCAAUUGAUACUGGCAGUCUUGAGUACAGUUGAGGUAGGCGGAAUUCGUGGUGUAGCGGUGAAAUGCUUAGAUAUCACGAAGAACCCCGAUUGCGAAGGCAGCUUACUAACCUGUGACUGACAUUGAUGCUCGAAAGUGUGGGUAUCAAACAGGAUUAGAUACCCGGGUAGUC